GACGAAUGUUCCUCUAACAACGGUGGAUGUGACCAAGUAUGCAAAAAUGACCAUGCUGUUUUUCGAUGUGAAUGUUAUCAAGGAUUUGGUCUCGAUGAAACUGGAAAAUCAUGUAACGAUAAUAAUGAAUGCCUGGGAUCCAAUAAAUGUUCCCAGUCAUGUAAUAAUACCAUAGGAUCAUAUGUCUGUAGCUGUGAUCCAGAAUAUCAAUUAGAAAGUGACGGGUUUACAUGCACUGAUAUUGAUGACUGCCUUAGGAUAGAAUGCUUUAAUAAUGGAAGAUGUGUAGAUUUUCCAGGAUCCUACACCUGUAAAUGUGAAGAAGGAUUCGAAGGAGAGCAUUGUGAAUUCG